UGCCAGCCGCCGCGGUAAUACGGAGGGUGCAAGCGUUGUUCGGAUUUACUGGGCGUAAAGCGCGCGCAGGCGGAUUGAUAAGUCGGAUGUGAAAUCCCGGGGCUCAACCCCGGAACUGCGUCCGAAACUAUUAGUCUAGAGUCUCACAGGGGGUAGGGGAAUUUCACGUGUAGGGGUAAAAUCCGUAGAGAUGUGAAGGAACACCAGUGGCGAAGGCGCCUACCUGGAUGAGUACUGACGCUGAGGCGCGAAAGCGUGGGGAGCAAACAGGAUUAGAUA
rnacentral:rRNA from 1 species